UACGUAGGGGGCAAGCGUUGUCCGGAAUCAUUGGGCGUAAAGCGCGUGUAGGCGGUUACGUAAGUCUGCUGUGAAAGGCGGAGGCUCAACCUUCGAAAGCCGGUGGAUACUGCGUGACUAGAGUACGGAAGAGGAGAGUGGAAUUCCUGGUGUAGCGGUGAAAUGCGCAGAUAUCAGGAGGAACACCAACGGCGAAGGCAGCUCUCUGGGACGUUACUGACGCUGAGACGCGAAAGCGUGGGGAGCAAACAGG
rnacentral:rRNA from 1 species